rnacentral:rRNA from 1 species
ACGUAGGUGGCGAGCGUUAUCCGGAUUUACUGGGUGUAAAGGGCGUGUAGGCGGGUGUUCAAGUCGGAUGUGAAAUUCCCGGGCUUAACUCGGGCGGGGCACCCGAAACUGCAGAUCUUGAGUACUGGAGAGGAUAGUGGAAUUCCUAGUGUAGCGGUGAAAUGCGUAGAUAUUAGGAGGAACACCAGUGGCGAAGGCGGCUCUCUAGGCAGUAACUGACGCUGAGGCGCGAAAGCGUGGGGAGCAAACAG